rnacentral:tRNA from 1 species
UUGCUGAUUUAGUUUAUUUUAAAAUUUAAUGUUAGGGGUAUUAAGAUUUUUUCAGUUAAAGAUUU